GGCGCAUUCUUCUAACGGUCAGGAAUCCUGCUUCUCACGCAGGCAAUAGCGGUUCGAUUCCGCUAUGCGCUAC
rnacentral:tRNA from 1 species